rnacentral:rRNA from 1 species
GAUGAACGCUAGCGGCAGGCCUAAUACAUGCAAGUCGAACGGUGUAGCAAUACACAGUGGCGCACGGGUGCGUAACACGUAUGCAACCUACCUUACAUUGGGGGAUAGCCUCUCGAAAGGGAGAUUAAUACCGCAUAAGACAGUAACUAGGCGUCUAGUAGCUGUUAAAGAUUUAUCGAUGUAAGCUGGGCAUGCGUCCAAUUAGUUAGUUGGCGAGGAAUGGCUCACCAAGACGAUGAUUGGUAGGGGAACUGAGAGGUCAAUCCCCCACACUGGCACUGAGAUACGGGCCAGACUCCUACGGGAGGCAGCAGUAGGGAAUAUUGGGCAAUGGGCGCAAGCCUGACCCAGCCAUGCCGCGUGCAGGAAGAAGGCGUUAUGCGUUGUAAACUGCUUUUAUACAGGAAGAAACGACCCUUGCGAGGGGCAUUGACGGUACUGUAUGAAUAAGCACCGGCUAACUCCGUGCCAGCCGCCGCGGUAACAC